rnacentral:rRNA from 1 species
AGUGAACGCUGGCGGUAGGCCUAACACAUGCAGGUCGAACGGCAGCACAGUAAGAGCUUGCUCUUACGGGUGGCGAGUGGCGGACGGGUGAGGAAUACAUCGGAAUCUACUUUUUCGUGGGGGAUAACGUAGGGAAACUUACGCUAAUACCGCAUACGACCUACGGGUGAAAGCAGGGGAUCUUCGGACCUUGCGCGAUUGAAUGAGCCGAUGUCGGAUUAGCUAGUUGGCGGGGUAAAGGCCCACCAAGGCGACGAUCCGUAGCUGGUCUGAGAGGAUGAUCAGCCACACUGGAACUGAGACACGGUCCAGACUCCUACGGGAGGCAGCAGUGGGGAAUAUUGGACAAUGGGCGCAAGCCUGAUCCAGCUAUACCGCGUGGGUGAAGAAGGCCUUCGGGUUGUAAAGCCCUUUUGUUGGGAAAGAAAAGCAGCAGGUUAAUACCCCGCUGUUCUGACGGUACCCAAAGAAUAAGCACCGGCUAACUUCGUG